rnacentral:tRNA from 1 species
GGGUCGUUAGCUCAGUUGGUAGAGCAGCGGACUUUUAAUCCGUUGGUCGC